UGCGUAGGCGGUAAGAUGCGUCUGAUGUGAAAUCCCUGGGCUUAACCUAGGAACUGCAUUGGAUACGGUCUUACUAGAGUCCGCGAGAGGAAGAUGGAAUUGUGCGUGUAGAGGUGAAAUUCGUAGAUAUGCACAAGAACACCGGUGGCGAAGGCGAUCUUCUGGAGCGGUACUGACGCUAAGGCACGAAAGCGUGGGGAGCAAACA
rnacentral:rRNA from 1 species